AUUCCUUUCUGACUGCUUUAGCCACUAGUCCAUACCUCUCUUGAGAGCCUUGCUGGGGCAGAGGUGAGCCCCAAGGAGCAGCAGGGGGAGAGCUUUGCUCCACCCUCUGUGCUGAGGUUUAGAGGCUGCUUUGAGCUGGCAGAGGGGGAAGUAAACUCGCAAGCUUGAGCUCCCUCUUUCCAGGCACUACGUGGGCACCCUGUGAAGGCGAGAGCGUGACAUGGUCCUGCUUUUCCUGGCAGCCUUGUUGGCACUGUCAGACUUUGGUCAUGCACAGAAGGACUCUGUGGUGCAGUUUGCCCAAGAAACUGCCAUCCAGGUGGGACACAACGCUACUCUGCACUGCAAUUUCUCCACCAGCACCUCUACACCCUAUAUCUUCUGGUACCAGCAGCGCCUGACCCAGUCCCCUCAGUUCUUGCUGCAGGUGAGCAAGUUCAAGCCUCAUGUGCAUUCCGGGAGGAUCUCCUCUGUGCUCUCCAAGGAGAACUCCCUGGUGCUUCUCCACGUGCAAGAUGCCAAGCUCCAGGACAGCGCUGUCUACCUGUGUGCACUGAACCCACACUGGUGCCCUCAGCUUUCAGCUUUAUACAGGAAGGUGUGGGUGCUGUGAGGUGCAGUUCCGUCUCAUCACAGUUUGCAUAGCGCUCUGAGCUGAGCCUGCCCAGCAAGGACACCUGGGGCUUGUGGUGAGCCAGCAGCCCCUGCUCCUGAUGCCUGGUAGUGUGGUUAGCAUAACCAACAGCAAGGCAAAUAUCCAUCAUGUGGAAGGGGCUGCUAAUGUGCACCCCUGCCUCCUUGUCUCUCCCUCCCACUGGCCGCAGCAUGUGGAGACACCCACCAUUGUGGUGAGAAAGGGCAUUGGUGUUAUCAAGCUAGUAAUUCAAC